UUUUUCCCGAUUUCCCGGGGUUUUGCCCCGUUCCAGACCGCCUGUUCUACAUCUACACCUCGGGCACCACCGGCCUGCCCAAGGCGGCCAUCGUGGUGCACAGCAGGUAUUACCGCAUCGCUGCCUUUGGUUAUUUCGCCUUCCGGAUGCGCCCCGAUGACAUCAUCUACACCUGCCUGCCGCUCUACCACUCGGCAGGGAACAUCAUGGGGGUGGGGCAGUGCCUCCUGCACGGCCUCACCGUCGUCAUCCGCAGGAAAUUCUCGGCCUCCAGAUUUUGGGACGAUUGUGUCAAAUAUCGCUGCACGGUGAUCCAGUACAUCGGGGAGCUGUGCCGGUUCCGCUGGCCCAGCCCGUGACUGA